AUUGAACGCUGGCGGCAUGCUUUACACAUGCAAGUCGAACGGUAACAGGCCUUCGGGUGCUGACGAGUGGCGAACGGGUGAGUAAUGCAUCGGAACGUACCCAGAGGUGGGGGAUAACGCAGCGAAAGCUGUGCUAAUACCGCAUGUGAUCUGAGGAUGAACGCGGGGGACCGAGCAGCAAUGUUUGGCCUCGCGCCUUUGGAGCGGCCGAUGUCGGAUUAGCUAGUUGGUGGGGUAAAGACCUACCAAGGCGACGAUCCGUAGCUGGUCUGAGAGGACGAGAAGCCACACGGGGGGGUGACGAGGGCCCAGACGACUGAGGGAGGCAGCAGUGGGGUAUGGUGGACAACGGGCGCGAGCAUGAUACAGCAGUGGGGCGUGCGGGAAGGAGGCGCUCCGGUUGGAAUCAGCUUUUGGCAGGAACGAAACGGUGUCCGCUGAUACCGGGCGCUAAUGACGGUACCGGCAGAAUAAGCACCGGCUAACUACGUG
rnacentral:rRNA from 1 species